rnacentral:rRNA from 1 species
AUUGAACGCUGGCGGCAGGCCUAACACAUGCAAGUCGAGCGGAUGAAGGGAGCUUGCUCCUGGAUUCAGCGGCGGACGGGUGAGUAAUGCCUAGGAAUCUGCCUGGUAGUGGGGGAUAACGUCCGGAAACGGGCGCUAAUACCGCAUACGUCCUGAGGGAGAAAGUGGGUGAUCUUCGGACCUCACGCUAUCAGAUGAGCCUAGGUCGGAUUAGCUAGUUGGUGGGGUAAAGGCCUACCAAGGCGACGAUCCGUAACUGGUCUGAGAGGAUGAUCAGUCACACUGGAACUGAGACACGGUCCAGACUCCUACGGGAGGCAGCAGUGGGGAAUAUUGGACAAAGGGCGAAAGCCUGAUCCAGCCAUGCCGCGUGUGUGAAGAAGGUCUUCGGAUUGUAAAGCACUUUAAGUUGGGAGGAAGGGCAGUAAGUUAAUACCUUGCUGUUUUGACGUUACCAACAGAAUAAGCACCGGCUAACUUCGUG